UCUCCAGGGCUUCCCUCCAUUUUGGCACACUCCAGCUAUUUUUACCUUUCUGAAUUUAAUGGCUGCAAAAAAUAGCUCCUGGCUGGUCACACAGUGGCAGGCUGCGAGAUUUACAGAGACUGCAUUAAACGCUGUUAUAUAAACCCAACCAGAGCGUCUAUUGAAGACCU
rnacentral:lncRNA from 1 species